rnacentral:rRNA from 1 species
GGCUCAGAUUGAACGCUGGCGGCAUGCUUUACACAUGCAAGUCGAACGGUAACAGGCCGCAAGGUGCUGACGAGUGGCGAACGGGUGAGUAAUGCAUCGGAACGUGCCCAGUCGUGGGGGAUAACGCAGCGAAAGCUGUGCUAAUACCGCAUACGAUCUAUGGAUGAAAGCGGGGGACCGUAAGGCCUCGCGCGGACGGAGCGGCCGAUGGCAGAUUAGGUAGUUGGUGGGAUAAAAGCUUACCAAGCCGACGAUCUGUAGCUGGUCUGAGAGGACGACCAGCCACACUGGAACUGAGACACGGUCCAGACUCCUACGGGAGGCAGCAGUGGGGAAUUUUGGACAAUGGACGCAAGUCUGAUCCAGCCAUUCCGCGUGCAGGACGAAGGCCUUCGGGUUGUAAACUGCUUUUGUACAGAACGAAAAGGUCUCUAUUAAUACUAGGGGCUCAUGACGGUACUGUAAGAAUAAGCACCGGCUAACUACGUG